rnacentral:lncRNA from 1 species
CUCCGAGCCAGGUGCGGGAUGUAAUCUCGUGGUGCGCCGUUUUUUAAGCCCGUCGGAAAAGCGCAGUAUUCGGGUGGGAGUGACCCGAUUUUCCAGGUGCCGUCUGUCACCCCUUUCUUUGACUUGGAAAGGGAACUCCCUGACCCCUCGCGCUUCCCAGGUGAGGCAAUGCCUCGCCCUGCUUCGGCUCGUCCACGAUGCGCGCACCCACUGGCCUGCGCCCACUGUCUGGCACUCCCUAGUGAGAGAAACCCGGUACCUCAGAUGGAAAUGCAGAAAUCACCCGUCUUCUGCGUCGCUCACGCUGGGAGCUGUAGACCGGAGCUGUUCCUAUUCGGCCAUCUUGGCUCUCCCUUAGUCUAGAUUGCAGCUAAUCUUCCCCUUACAUGACACCUACAAGUUAAACAAACUGCAACUAGGAAGAUCGUGAUCAUUUGACUAGGACCUGGAUUGUUUGAGAGAGGCAGUCUAAAAGUAAGUUUUUACUAAUUAUUUUUGAACCUUGUAAUGGCAUUUUAAGCAACUGCUUUCACCUACAAUAAUAGUUACUUAUUUUACUUUUCCUGAAUAAGCCAGGCUCUUUCCUAAGUUUAUUAAAUGUAUUGUCUACUCUACCCCUUAUACCACAGACUCACAAUGUAGAUACUAUCAUGAUUAUAAUAAUCAUACUAUUAAUAAAAAUUAAUAUUACUUUAUUUGUAUUAUGGCUACUAUUGUUCUAUUGACAAAAAGAGAAGAGAGGUUAAGUAACGCGCAUAGAGAGAUAAGUACCAGGUCCCCAAAUAAACCUCAACCAUGUGGUUAAAGCCUAUUAAUAGCCUGACCACAAGCCCUCUGAGGUGGGAGCCUGGACACUUAAUAUCCUAUUAAUCCCUACUGUGCUGUGGGCUAGAGCCUAUGUGUCCCUUCAAGGAGCACAGGGAUGUUAAGUGUGGGUCUGUAGCUCUGGGGAGCUGUUUUCCUUUUAGGAAUACUCCUUGCUAGUUUUCAAAUAAUUCUUUAGCACUGAAGUUGGGACCCCUGAGACAUUUUUUUAUGUUCUAAAGACCACUCUGUUAGUUAAGUAAACCUGACUACAACCUUGAACAAAUUUAUAAUCUAUUGAAAUGUUACAGUAAAAGAAAUGCGAAGGUAAAGCAAAAAUUCUAAUUAUUUCAAAGGUAAUUGCAAACUAUCUAGCUGCCCUGAGAGUCUCCCCAAAGUCCCGGCAUUGCUUGGCACUACCACACCCUGUUUUCUGGAGGAUUUUUAGUUCAAACACGUACCUAAAUUUGACCAGAUAUCUAAAUUCCCAUUUGGAGACACAUCAUGGCAUGUAGGAUACUUUCCUACUUUUUCGCUAAAAAAGGUUUUCGAUCGAAAGUUGAAUGCUGUGGAUGUUGAAGUCCCAUGCGUCUGAGGUCCCAAGUCUCAGAAGCCUUUCCUCAUGCUGUUUCCAUACGUGUUUUCAGUUCUUGGAAUGAAAUUCUCAGAUUAGAACGCAUCAGACCUCUCUUAGUUCUCAUGGAGUAUGUAGAGGCCAUGAUGAACUGAAGAUUUCUCUCUGGUGUGGAUAUGUUUUCUCUUUUACCUCUGAACUUCUACAUCAAGACUUCGUGUGAAUGAGCUCUGCUUUUGAGGAUUCAUGACUCUUUUCCUCCAUGAUUUGAAAAUGUAUAUUCAAAAGAUUAAAAGAUGGAGCUGGCCGAGUGAGGUGGCUCAUGCCUGUAAUCCCAGCACUGUGGGAGGCCGAAGCAGGUGGAUCACUUGAGGUCAGCAGUUCAAGACCACCCUGGCCAACAUGGUGAAACCCUGCCUCUACUAAAAAUACAGAAAUUAGCCAAGUGCAAUGGCAGGCACCUGUAAUCCCAGCUACUCGGGAAGCUGAGGAUGGAGAAUCACUUGAACCCUGGAGGCAGAGGUUGCAGUGAACUGAGAUCACACCACAGCACUCCAGUCUGGGUGACUCAGUCUUGAAAAAUGAAAUGAAAUAAAAUAAAAUAAAAGAUAGAGCUGGAGUUUUGCUGGUUACUAUUAUUUAAUCAGAGGACAUAUCACCCUCCUCACAAAGGUGAGAAUCACACAGUCCCAGGAGGUUGUUUGGGCACCAGCUACAGGCCCACAGUCACCGUCAGCAAAAUCAAAUGUGUGUGUUACACACAGACGUCUCAUCUCCAUGGGCUUAUAGACACCAGGCUAGGCAACUAAAAGGGAAAAGUAUUUUUUAUUUUUAUUUUGUUUCUUCCAAGUUAAAGCAUGCUUUUCCUGUUUAUAAAACUUCUGUUUUUGGAAACACUUCUCACUGUACUUUACCAUGAGCAAGGUAAGAUAAGUUUUAUAAGUAGGAAAGCAUGCUUUUAUUUUUGUUUUUAUUUUAUACAAGUAAAGAAGAAAAUAAAAGCAAAACAAAAAUUUAUCUCUCUCAAGUGUCUACUCUCAAUGUUUUGUGCUUGCCACACCCCAUAGUCUAUACACAUACAUACUUACAAAGAGGAUUGUUCACCUGUGGGCUUGUUUAACAUACAUUUAUUUUAUAAUGUAUCAUAUAUAUCUUUUCAUAAUUUUUAAAAAAUUAUCUCUUCACUAUAAUGACUACAUAUGUUUGCAUUCUGGGGUGUUAAUUUAAUUUAAUUAGCAAAUCAUUUAUCAAUGCAUAUUUACUGUGACUAUGAUUGUUUAUAUUUUAACUAAUGUUGUGAUGACAUUCUUGUGUAUAUUUUGUUGCAAUACAUUUCCCAAAGGACAAUUUUUCAGCCUUAGGUUUUUCACAUUUCAUAUCUCUGAGACUGUGCUCCAUAAAGCUAUAUGGAUUUGGAUCCCCGUUAGAGACGUGUCUACACUCAUUUCUGAUAAAUGCACACAGGUAUCUCCAGGACUUAUGCCCUGCCCAGAAUACACUGGUUUUCUAUAAAUACUGUUGAAUGAAUAAAUGUAUCUUUAACAUUACCAUGGUGUUUUUUAACCUCUGUCAACAUGAGAAGCAAAACCUACCUCCUUGUUUUAAUUUACAUUUGUUUAAUUGCCUGUGAGGCCCAACAUCUUUUCAUAAAUGCCUGGCUAAUUUGUGUAUUUAUUUUUCCUCUUGUGAACUGCCUACUCAUUUUCUUUUGAUGUUAUUGAUGUGUAGGAUUCUCCUUGUUGACUUGUAAGAAUAAUUUAGAAACUAGUGAGUAAAUCUUUGUUUUGUGUGUCAAUUUUUUUUCAAUUAUUUGCUUGUCUUUUAUUGUUUGGUUGCUUUUACCUUAGGUAAAAAGGUAAGUGUUAUGUCUUUCUCCAGGUUUAAUUUAUUUAUUUUUUUGGAGGAGGGAUAUUCUGGGUCUUUACUACAUAACCCACCUCUACUCCAAAAGCAUAAUUUUUCACUAUUUUUAUAAACAUUAAUAUAUGUCCCAAACAUAAUUUUUGUCCUCAUUUUUUUAGAACACAGAACAACACACAGUUUUAGAACAUAAAGCAUAAAAUUUUUGAGUGUAUUAGUCUGUUCUCAUGCUGCUUAUAAAGACAUACCCAAGACUGGGUAAUUUAUAAAGAAAAGAGGUUUAAUGGACUCACAGUUCCACAUGGCUGGGGGAGCCUCACAAUCAUGGCAGAAGACGAAUGCGGAGCAGAGUCACAUCUUACAUGGCUGCAGGCAAUAGAGAUUGUGUAGGGGAACUGCCCUUUAUAAAACCAUCAGAUCUCGUGAGACUUAUUCACUAUCAAGAGAACAGCAGGGAAAAGACCUGCCCCAUGAUUCAAUUACCUCCCACUGGGUCCCUCCCACAACAUGUGGGGAUUAUGGGAGCUACAAUUCAAGAUGAAGUUUUGGGGGGGACACAGCCAGACCACAUCAAAGGGUCUUCAUUUGAAUUGUUUUCCACAUGAGGAUGAGAAGAUUUCUAUUUUUUUAAUUUAAAUACUAGUCAGCUGAGUAUUUUUUACUCAGUAUCAUUUACUGAAAACCUAACUUUUCCCCAGAGUUGAAAGGACAUCUCUGUUAAAUAUGAGAUUUGCAUAUAAAACUGGAUAAAGCUUAAACUCUGAAUUCUCUUCUUCUUAUCCCCCCAUCUAUUGCUAGGCCUGUAACAUACCCUACCAUUUGAAUUAUUUACCUUUCAAGUGCAUUUUAUGUUUUCUUAAUUUAUAUGGUCCUCUUUAUGCUUCCUUGCAUAAUUCCCACUCCCAUUUUUGUAUAUUUAUUUUCUGGAUAAGCUUUAGAAUAAUUGCUGUUGUGUUUUAAAAUAUUGGUGGAACUUUAUUAAGAUGCUAUUGAAUAUAUGAAUUAAAUUGGGAAGACUUGUCAUCUUAAUGAAAUAGAAUCUUCCCAUCUAAGAAGCAGGUAUGAUUUUCAAUAUUUCAUCAUAUGUUUAUACAUACAACAUGGCUUUUAAAUUUCAUUUCAGGAAAGUAUAGAAAUAUGGGCUGACUUGCUAUCAUUUUUUUUUUUUUUGAGAUGGAGUUUCAUUCUUGUUGCCCAAGCUGGAGUGUAAUGGCGUGAUCUUGGCUCACUGCAACCUCGGCCUCCCAGGUUCAAGCAAUUCUCCUGCUUCAGCCUUCUGAGUAGCUAGGAUUACAGGCAUGCGCCACCACAGAUGACUAAUUUUGUAUUUUUAGUAGAGACAGGGUUUCUCCAUGUUGGUCAGGCUGGUCUCGAACUCCCAACCUCAGGUGAUCCACCCGCCUUGGCCUCCCAAAAUGCUGGGAUUAUAGCCAUGAGCCACCGCGCCCGGCCCAAGAGUUGCUAUCUUAAUGAAAUAUAACCUUCCCAUCUAAGAAGCAGUUUUAUGAGCCAGGUACUGCCACUGUCUCUCAUUCACAACGGAAGGCUUGAGGCUGAGUGGAACGAAUAUGGUCAUACCACUUAAGAAGUGGAGCCAGGAAGCAAGCCCCAUCAGCAGGACCCAGGAGUCAAUAUGUUCUGCAUUGCUGAAGUUGAGAGCAAUAUUGUGCCCAUCUCUGAAACAGAGAUAAAAUAAUGCUACAGUUGGAUCAGAAAAGAAAAAUGAAAAAAAUAAAAGCUUUGAGGAAGAACUUUGAUGGAAGAAACUAUUUCCAUGACCCUUUUCCUCUCUGUCUACAAUGGCAUCACCUUCUUGGUGAAGGGACAUUGAGAUGCUACGGCUGAGAAUGCAGAGUGAAGAGCCCUUGGAGGCCCUACCAGCUGCUACCAGCCUCCUGUCUUCCCUGCCUGGGUCCAUGGCUGGCCUGCCCUGGCAUCCAUGUGGCUUCUGGACUGAGUUCCAGCUGGUGAGAUGCGAGGGGAAGCUGCACCUGCUGCACCCAGACCUGGCUCAUACAACCUUGCACAGGCGACCUCGGGGGGUUUUCCUUCUGUGGACGGACAGCCCAACAAGCUUGGAGCCCAUAAGCUGAGGGUGAAGAGUCUCUGAAUUGCUGCUUGGAGAACAGCCUGCUGCCAGCUAGGAUUGCCUGGUUUGGAUUUUAUCUGAGAGAGAAAUAAACUGCUUUUAUUGUGUUGGACCCAUUGGGCAUUUUGAGCUGAUCAACUAAUAUUACUAACUCCUUUAGUUAUAUGUCCUUCCUUUUAAAAGGUCUAUGAAAGAUGAUUUAAAAAUACAUUCAUGUUGCAUGUUAAAGUAUAUUUCAAAUAAUUGAGAAACUCUAAGUAGGAUAAGAAUAAAGUUAGGAAAUGAGGAUGGAGCCAGGAAUGAAGCUGUUCUGAAAUGGGGGGAACAUGAAGCCCCAUUCUCUGGCUUAGGGGACAAGUUUGAAUCCAAACUAGAAACGGAGGACAGGAAAAGGGAAAUAGAAUCAAUGGCAGAAGAAAAACACAAGUAGAAAUAAUAUCAGUGAUGGCAUUGCAUCUGUCAUCUGGACUGAAGCAUUUAUUUACUGUGAGAAACCCUUUAGGAAUCUAUUUUCAUCCUUUUAUGUAGAUAAAGACAUCGAUAUAGUUGACAUCAAUACAGAUCAAACAUAGACAGUGAUCUAGUUAUAGACACAGACCUAGACUUAGACAUGGGUUUAGAUACAGCUUAGAAAUGCCUUUAUUUCCCACUCUCCUCUCAGCCUCCACCGGUGUGUGAAAUUGUCCAAUCAGAGUCUCCUUUUGAGUCAUCCAUGGACGACUACUCAUUAGCUAACUCAUCUGGCCUCUUUCUUCCUCUAACCUUUUCUUCCCUUUUCUCUGUGCCUCUUCGCCUGCCCCAACUUAGUCCUGAGCAUCUGUGACCUCCUGCUCACUGUGCAUGCCUGCAGCUCUGACUCCUGUCCCGCAAAGUUUCUUGUUCUUCAAAUCUUAUUCUGGGUCACUCCUGUUUUUCUCAAGGAUGCCUGUGGCUUUAUCUCCCUUUCCUUAAUGAUGCACCUCAAACCUCCGUCUCCCCCUGAAAUGCCUCCUCAUUUACCUAACAGGCUGGUGACUGUCCCCUCUGGUGCCUGACCUAGGAAACUGACACAUCUCACAUUCGGAACAAAGGCUGUGCCCUCCUCGACAGUCCUCUACCUGGGGUCUCACUGCAUUGCCAUUGUUUCAGGGCUGCUUCCCAAGCCAGAGAAGUAGCAGCCAUCCUGGAUCGAUUCCUUCCUCUCCCCACAGAUUCCAUCAGUCCACAGUGCUGCUGACUUUGCUUUCUGCACGUUUCUUAGAUUUCCCACUUCUCGCCAUCACCACCCUGGGAGCCACUUGCAAAGUACUGGCCUGGUCACCAUCGCCUCUCGCCAGCUUACAGCAGGUGUCCCCUAUCCAGCCCACCUUCCUCCAGUCUUGCUCCAGUUCAGUAACUUAUUCUAGCAUCUUUAGUAAGUCAUGUGCUGGGGCUGACGUGCCUCUACAUGGCUCCUCCUUCUUGUCUUCCUCUCCUUUGCUAGCAUUACUGACAUAGCCUGCAUGUCCCUUUGUGCCAGGAACCGUUUAAGGUGAUUUUCUGCUAUUAUCCCAUUUAAUCCUCAAUAUAGCUCUCUGAAGAAGGUAGCCUAGUCACCCUCCUAGGAUGGCGAGGCAACCAAGACUGUGUAGUGCCUUCCCCUUGCACGCAUAAGGUCACCUGCACAUUGUUCUCUGCUUGUGGCAUUAUUUCCUCCAGCUUCACAGGGAGAAUCUCAACCCAUCUUUCAUCCCUAAUUAUGGACACCAUCUGCUCAACAAAGGCAUAUGGUGCUCCUCCAUCUGCCCAGAGAGUUGCUGAGCCUCUGUACAUCAACAGCCUUUAGCUGCCUCUACGCCGUGAUUGGGAGGAAGCUCCCUGAGGACAGGGCCAUAUCUGACAUUUCCUCAGUUACAUUUUCCACACUGAGCAUAAUAUGGUCACAUAGGGGGCACUUAUUAAAUACUUCCCUAAAACAUGAGUAAACAUGACAUCAAAAAGGUAUCACUCACUGCAAGGAAAAUAUAGCUUAUGACAUUUUACAAAUGUAUGAAAAUUUAAAUGUAUUUUUUGUUCAUGAAUAGUCACUGUGGUGCACGUAAUAUAUUUAACCAGGAGUAUGUGGCUUAGUGAGUUAAUGCAAGUGAGAAAUAUGUACCCACAUGAAACACCUCAUAUAUGAAGUUUUUUUUUUUUUUGACAGAGUUUUGCUCGGUCACUCACGGCAACCUCCGCCUCCUGGGUUCAAGCAGUUCUCCUGCCUCAGUCUCCCGAGUAGCUGGGACUCUACAGGCAUCCCCCAUCAGAUGUUGUUCUGUUGGGUUUCAUUUAACCAGUCUCAACAAAUGAUACAGAAUAUUUCCUAAAGAACUUAUAAUCCAAUAAAUGACUUUUUGAUGCCUCAUGGAGAAAAUUGGCUUUGAGACCACACUUCUUCCCACUUCUUCAAUAUAAAAGAAAAACAAGUUCUUAUUAACACAAUUUUGGACACUCAAGCACAUUCUAUGGUUCUGUAUUGGUGAUGAAAACUGCCUAUGAGCGACUACCAACCUCUUUUAUGCUGCCUAUUUUUGGAGAUGUCCAAAUUUAAGAUUAAGGAUUCUGGAAAUUUGUUUCACAUAUUCUCUUUCUCUUUCUCUCAAGGUUAGGGUACCCAGUGUCUUCCAAACUAAAGUAUUGUAAUAUUACCCUGCCACCUAGGGGUAUUGCCAAAGAAAUUUAUGCAUGUAUAUAGACAUUUAGUGUAUUGGUCAAAAUGUGACAAUUAUGUUAUUAAAGUAUGUAAUUAACAGUCACAAUUGUGUUUUUGUAUUUUGUUUUCUCUUUCAUAAUAGUCUUUGUUCUUGAAACCAAAUGAGAAUGGU